UGAACGCUGGCGGCGUGCCUAAUACAUGCAAGUCGAGCGAACAGACGAGGAGCUUGCUCCUCUGACGUUAGCGGCGGACGGGUGAGUAACACGUGGAUAACCUACCUAUAAGACUGGGAUAACUUCGGGAAACCGGAGCUAAUACCGGAUAAUAUAUUGAACCGCAUGGUUCAAUAGUGAAAGACGGUUUUGCUGUCACUUAUAGAUGGAUCCGCGCCGCAUUAGCUAGUUGGUAAGGUAACGGCUUACCAAGGCAACGAUGCGUAGCCGACCUGAGAGGGUGAUCGGCCACACUGGAACUGAGACACGGUCCAGACUCCUACGGGAGGCAGCAGUAGGGAAUCUUCCGCAAUGGGCGAAAGCCUGACGGAGCAACGCCGCGUGAGUGAUGAAGGUCUUCGGAUCGUAAAACUCUGUUAUUAGGGAAGAACAAAUGUGUAAGUAACUAUGCACGUCUUGAUGGUACCUAAUCAGAAAGCCACGGCUAACUACGUG
rnacentral:rRNA from 1 species